GACGAACGCUGGCGGCGUGCCUAAUACAUGCAAGUCGAACGCAGUUGCGAACGGGUGAGUAACGCGUAGGUAACUGCCUCAAAGGGGGGGAUAACUCUUGGAAACGAAAGCUAAUACCGCAUAUUGUGAGAUGUACCUUUGUUGUAUUAGCUAGUUGGUGGGGUUAAGGCUCACCAAGGCGACGAUACAUAGCCGGCCUGAGAGGGGGGACGGCCACACUUGGACUGGAACACGGCCCAAGAUCCUACGGGAGGCAGCAGGUGGGAAACAUCGGCCAAUGAGGGAAGUCUGGACGAGCAAAGCCGCGUGAUUGAAGGAGGUUUUCGGGGCGUAAAGCUCUGUUGUUAGGGAAGCGGUAACGAACCAGAAAGGAACGGCUAACUACGUGCCAGCAGCCGCGGUAAUUC
rnacentral:rRNA from 1 species